UUGAGCCCUUCACAAGUCUGAACAAUUUAUUACAUUUAACAUCUCAACUUUAAACCAGACCUCAUCAUUUCCGUAUCACAUUAACUUUGCAACGAUCACCGACUAUUUAUGUUCUACUACUGAUGAUAUAAGUAAUAAGGUCAAACUAAUUACUGUUACAUCUUGUAACUAAAGUUCUGGAAGGGAUGCAUUUAUUAGAUAAAAGGUCGACGCGGGCUCUGCCCGUUACUGCGAUGAUUCAUGAUAACUCGACGGAUCGCACGGCCAUCGUACCGGCGACGCACCAUUCAAAUUUCUGCCCUAUCAACUUUCGAUGGUAGGAUAGUGGUCUACCAUGGUGGUGACGGGUGACAAAGAAUUAGGGUUCGAUUACGGAGAGGGAGCCUGAGAAACGGCUACCACAUCCAAGGAAGGCAGCAGGCG
rnacentral:ncRNA from 1 species